rnacentral:tRNA from 1 species
GCGAUAGUAGCUCAGACAGAGCAUCGGGCUUGUAACUCGAAGGCCAGGGAUUGAGACCCCUCUACCGCU